AACGCGAAGAACCUUACCCAGGCUUGACAUCCUGUGAAGGUCUCUGAAAAGAGAUUGUGCCUUCGGGAACGCAGUGACAGGUGUUGCAUGGCCGUCGUCAGCUCGUGUCGUGAGAUGUUUGGUUAAGUCCAUCAACGAGCGCAACCCUUGUAGUUAGUUGCUUUUCUAGCUAGACUGCCCUGGUAACAGGGAGGAAGGAGGGGAUGAUGUCAGGUCAGUAUUACCCUUACGUCUGGGGCUACAAACACGCUACAAUGGCCGGUACAAAGGGCAGCCAAGUCGCGAGACGGAGCAAAUCCCAUCAAAGCCGGUCUCAGUUCGGAUUGUAGGCUGAAACUCGCCUACAUGAAGCUGGAAUCGCUAGUAACGGUAGGUCAGCACACUACCGUGAAUACGUUCCCGGGCCUUGUA
rnacentral:rRNA from 1 species